rnacentral:rRNA from 1 species
CGCGGCCUAUCAGCUUGUUGGUGGGGUGAUGGCCUACCAAGGCGACGACGGGUAGCCGGCCUGAGAGGGUGACCGGCCACACUGGGACUGAGACACGGCCCAGACUCCUACGGGAGGCAGCAGUGGGGAAUAUUGCACAAUGGGCGGAAGCCUGAUGCAGCGACGCCGCGUGGGGGAUGACGGCCUUCGGGUUGUAAACCCCUUUCGCCCGGGACGAAGCGAGAGUGACGGUACCGGGAGAAGAAGCACCGGCCAACUACGUGCCAGCAGCCGCGGUAAUACGUAGGGUGCAAGCGUUGUCCGGAAUUAUUGGGCGUAAAGAGCUCGUAGGCGGUGUGUCGCGUCUGCCGUGAAAACCUGCGGCUUAACCGUGGGCGUGCGGUGGAUACGGGCACACUUGAGUUCGGUAGGGGAGACUGGAAUUCCUGGUGUAGCGGUGGAAUGCGCAGAUAUCAGGAGGAACACCAGUGGCGAAGGCGGGUCUCUGGGCCGAAACUGACGCUGAGGAGCGAAAGCGUGGGGAGCGAACAGGAUUAGAUACCCUGGUAGUCCACGCCGUAAACGGUGGGCGCUAGGUGUGGGAUGCUGUUCACGUGUCCCGUGCCGUAGCUAACGCAUUAAGCGCCCCGCCUGGGGAGUACGG